GGGGGAACAGGGAGAACAGAAAAGGAAGACAGAAAAUCUCAGUGGCAUGGACAGGGCGAACAAGAAUACCAAUUCCUGCCACAAACAAAAAGUGUACUUCAGAUCCUAACUUCAAGUAAUUUAAUUAUUAUUAUAUUGUUCAUUUUAAAGCUAAGAAAACAGGUCAGAGCAAUCACUUAGUAUAGCUAAUAAAGUCAUGUAACAAUUAAGUGACAGAGCUGAUUAAGAUUCUCUGAACUGAAAUAAGAUUUUCUGUCUCUAUCACCAUAUGGACUUCCUACUAUUAAUUCAUGGUGUCUGAUCAACAUUGUCAGCUGUUGCCUUCCCCAGCACCAAGUUUUUGCAGCCGUCAAGCUGAAAUUCACACUAUUUUCUAGUCAUUCAUGAGCAGGUGCAUAUUAACUUCUCUGGAGUUGUUUAUGCCUAAAAUGAGAGUAGAAUUAAUAAUAUCAACAUUAGCAGUUGGGAAUAUGAUACACUAUUAAUUAACCUAAUUGUAAGUGAAUCUAAAAUCUAAAAGAUUUUAUAAUCUAAAACCUUAAAAUCUAAAAGGUUUACACAUAUAUUUGGUUAAAGGAUUCUGUAAAGAUGCAUAACUUGGGGGCAUAAGAGAUAUAUGUAAUCAUAAGAGCUGUAAAUACAAAUAAACUCUUCAUAGGAGUAAGUUUAGAUUUUGUAGAAAAUAAAGAAGCUAGGAAGCCAUUUACUGUUAGGAGGUGGAAAAACCUAGGUUAUCUAUUGUCAUGAAAUCCAGGGGCAACAAGUUCUCAAAAAAGCAUGGAAACUCAGUAUUGUUAAAAGCCCAGUACAUUCAAUGAAAGCAAAGUAACUGGAAGUGGCUAGAAGGAAAUCUUUGACGAUCUUGAUGAGAGAAUAAUCAAGGAAGUUAUUGGAAUGAACCCCAGACUGCAUGGAAUCAAAAUUGGCUUGAGUGUGGUAAAAGAAGAAGGCAACUUUCGGAAACUGUCCUAUAGGGCUGUUGUCCCAUGACCUGUGCCCUCUUCCUCUUUAUAGUCUCUUUCUGCCUCUUCCGGCCUAUGUCUGGAUGCUGCCAUCUUGAAUUCCAUGGAUGACAGCUAUGCUGUAGGGAUGACAAGGUUUCAUCUGGAAGAAGACAUCUGAGAAUAUUUUGAAGCAGAGCUUCCAACCUCUCUGAGCUAUAUCCUCAGAGCCUAAUUUCUUCCUAAGAAAUAUGCCUCCCUUACUUACUCUAGAAAUAGACAUAUCUGAUGUGUGUGCUGGGAUGAGGCCCCUUAUGAACCACAAUCCUGCCUUUACUAUUUUAGACAACCAAUGACUAGAUCCCUUGAUACCCCCAUUUAAAUUUCUAAAAUACUAAGUUGAUAUAUUGGGUAAGUAAGAACAUCUACUCUCUAAUUUUUUUUUGUCAGAACUUUGCUCAUGGUUUUAAGAACCAAAAUUAAUAAUGCAACUAAAAAUCUGUCAAGAGUCCUCCUAUAACCCUAUUUACCUUUAUUAAUUUUUUUUGCUUUUCUUAUGACUUUAUUCCACAAAGUAAACAUUAAGAUUUUCAUAUUAAGUGUCCUCGAAAACUAUGUGAAAUUUUUAAUGGCAUUUUAUUAAAGUUAUACUAAAAUGAAGAGAAUCUAUCACUUUUCUAUAGUAAACCUUUUCUCCCAAUAAAAUA
rnacentral:lncRNA from 10 species